rnacentral:lncRNA from 1 species
AAAAUGAAGUACAAAAUAUACCAGUUCUCUUCCAAAUCCUGGUCAUCUUCAUCCCAGAUGGUGACAGGAUUAAGGCAUGGAGGUGCUACGAAAGGGAACUCCGCAGCAUCAGUCAGCGAGGCAGGACCCGUCUCUGUGUACGGUGAAGUAUCCGACGACAGGGACAGACUGUGCAGCGCUGCGGGAGAAAGGAGACGACCAACCUGUGCUCAGAUAGAGCCCUCUGCGAAUGGAAAAGGGGUUGUUCAUCCUGGAGGAGGCUUUUAUUCGGAGCACGUGAACCUCUGGAGGCCAACACCAGCCCGCUCGAGCGCUCCCUAAACCAGCGAUCCCAACGUAGAGCAGCCAGGUGGCAGAGCAGAGGAAUUAGAGCCUCUCACCGGCUGCUCAACACUUCGCCCUGGGAAGCAGCUUCGGCAUCAGCCAAGGAAGCCUGCAAGGAACAAAGUGGGGGCAUAGUGGGAGGGCUGCACCGCAGAUGCGGUACCUGCAUGCUACAGCCCUGUGCACACCUGCACCACUCCCCAAUCAAGUACCUGGAUAACAAAGGGCAUCGAAACAUGAUGCACGAACAUCUUGCUAACUUGACAAGGAACAUACAUCAUUUGACCUGCUACUUUGUCUUAUUCGGCUCAUCUCCCAUUUGGGAAUUGCUCAGUGUCUCUGACAACACGGAAGUUCUCCACAGGGAAGUUUCCACAGGAGUUGGACACAACCCAAACAAAACCUCUAAACAAUCGACCUCCAUCUCCACUCACAGACGCUGCUGCUGA